AUUCAUGCAUUAAGCGAUUAUCCGUAAAAUAGGUUCAGCUAAACUGAGAAUGAAAGAGUAUAUACAUAUUCCGUAUUCGAAUUGGCAAAAAUGGAACAAUCCAAACACGAUCUGACACAAAUUGCAAAACUGAAGAUGCAACAAAGUCAUGUAAACGGUUAUGGAAGAAGAAGAAGAGUACAAUUGGAGAGAAGUGAAGUUUCCUGUCAUCAUACCCCUAGUGCCGGAGCCGGAACUCGAAAGAGAAACCGGCUGAACAACGACGUGACCGAGAUAUACUCAUUACAAUAGAUUCACGGUCUUAACAGCAAACACGCUUUUGAUUGGGCUCACCUUUGCCGUCUCGUCGAUACACUUCAUCUCGUUCGCGCCGUCUUCUGUUAUAUCCACAUCCUUAAUUUCCCUUUGAACCAGUAUUCUACAGCUCAAAUUGUUCUAAUUUUUUUAGGUCUGAGAAAUGAGAUUGUCUAUGAGAGUACACAGGCACUCAUGGAGAAGCUUGCUGUCGAAGCUUUAGAGGUUGCUCUGGUGAAGACAGUGGCCAGGAUUGUGGAAGGAGAUGACGGAAAGGUUAUUUACAAGGAAGCAGAAAGGUUGAAGCCUUCAGAUGUGGUAGAACCAGGGGACGUAGCUUAAUCCAAAGGUCUCUCGCUCUCUCUCCCCAGUGUAUGCAAGCGUGAUCAUAGUGUAAUGCAAGGAAGUGUCGAGGCUGGGGAAGAAUCUGUGAUUUAAUGGGACUUGCAAAGUUUGAGAAACUUAUCUGAAGUGGUGCCCAUCCAAGGAAUGCUACUUGGUGUGAGACAGUGGAAACAGCUGUAUUACUGGUGGCAGGUUCUUCCUUUAAAUGCCUAUGCUUAUAUUAUGUUUUCAUUGAUGUAAAGUAUUUUUAUCUUGUUUUAAAUUGUGUCUAUUUUAUGUAUUCAGUAUUUAAGUUUGUUUGUACAUAAUACCAAUUUAUAUUGUGAAUAGUUGCUGAACGCAGUGAAAAAACUCAUCCAUUUACACAUUGAACAUUGUUCCUAAGAGAUAGAAGGCAUACCAUUUGUGCUGAUUUACUUUAACAAUUUCUGUCACAAAGAUGUAAUGCAUCACUUCUUGCCGCAAGAAUCAUAUAAGCAGGAAAACAUAAAAUAAGAUCUAUUUGUCUAGCUCAAUCAGAAGGAACCUGAAUUAAAUAGAGUAAUUGAAGGGGAGCCUUGGACCAACAGUAAAGUUAUCUUCGUGUGACCUAUAGGUCACGGGUUUGAGCCGUGCAAUCAAGCACUGACGAUUGCAUUAGGGUAGACUGGCUACAUCACAGUCCCUUAGGGUGCGGCCUUUCCCUACACCUGCAUGAACGCGAGAUGCUUCGUGUACCAGGCUAUUGAACGUAGAGAUGCAAGUUCUUCAGUUGUCCAUGGAUUCUAGAGGAAUUCUUUAAGAAAUUGAGAGCUUGGGAAAGGUCAUAAACAUAAAGUGCUAUGUAGAAAUGUUGGCUCAAGGUUGCUGUACUACACACCACAUAUUUCGACAACCUUCUUGGAUUUUUAGGAAACAAUAAUUACGAAGAUUUUGAUUAAUAUUGAAGGAAUUGCUUUGUAACCUUAGUGGGUCCAGAAAGACAACAAGCAAAACCAUCUUUCAGCAUCUAUUCCGACAAGAAGAAUCCUGUAGGUUUUGUCUGUAGAAGAGGCCAGGUCCGUCUUUGCUCAUUGAAAAUGAAGGUAAGCAGAUGUUGGAACAGAGAAAUAAUGGUGAAAGGCAAAAGAUGACAUAGACUAGGCCCAAUAGUGGUGCUGCCCAGACUCGGAUAAAUGCAUCUGGUUUGCUUUGAACCAUUAACAAUGGAAAGAUGCCCUCCAGAGCAUAAUGGAACUAUAUAUUCUAUAGUGCUGACUGAGAGAUGAAAAGCAAUAACGAA